rnacentral:tRNA from 1 species
GUUCGCGCUGGUCGAGGUGCGGCUGGUGCUGGGCGCGCUGGUGCUGCUGCCGUUCCUGUGGCGCGCGCGGGCGCAGUUCCCGCCGCGGCGC